UUGUAUACUGAAAUGCUAAUCUGGAUGUGAUUUACUUUGAGGAUGCUCACAGCCCAAUUACCCAAACCUAGUUCUCCAAGGUGUCCACAAGCCGAAAAAACACUCACCAUAGUCACCUCAUCUGGUUUUCUCGAAUCUUCACUAGAGAUCAUUUCCUCGAAUAGCUUGAUCGCCUUGAAUGACUCACCAUUUUGAGUAUAACCUGCAAUCAUUGAAUUCCAUGAGACAGUAUCUCGCUGUGGCAUCUUAUCAAAGAGGUGUUUUGCCGAAGGUAAAUCCCCUACUCUUGCAUAUGCAGAAAUCAUGGCAUUCCAUGGAACAGAACUCCUAUACUUAUACACACCCAAUUGCUCAAAAAUCUUGUGUGCUGCCUCAAGGUUCCCACAUUUCGCAUGCAUAUCAAGCAGAGCUGUCUUGACAAAAUAAUUUGGGCGGAAACCCACUUUGUCGUCUAGCUUUCUGACAAUCGACUCUGAAAGACAAGGGUCACCAAGAGAUGAACAAGAAGAUAUGACAGUUGCCCAUGUUGUUUCGUCUGGUUGGACAUUUCCAGGGCUAAGCAUGUCAUUGAACAAUCUUAUAGUUUCUUCUGGUGCUCCCCCUUGAGCAUACCCUGAUAGCAUUGCAUUCCAAGAUACCACACUUCUUUCUGGCAUUUUGUCAAAAUACAUCCUUGCAGUCUUCAAAUUCCCCUUCUUUGCAUGUCCAGUAAUCAUGGUGGUCCAAGUAAUAACAUUCCUACUUAUUUCCUGGUCACCCAUCACAUGGAAAAGCGUACUUGCUUCCUCUUCAUUCCCGCAUUUCCAGUAUCCAGAUAUCAUCACAUUCCAAUCUGCAACAGUUCUAUCAGGCAUUUCAUCAAAUAGUUUCCUAGCAAACUCAAUAGGUCCGUACUUGGCAUAUAUGCCCAAGAUUCCAUUCCGAACAUAAUGAUCACGAUCAUAUCCUGAUUUCAAUACAUGAGCAAGAAACAACAUGCUUUCACUUCCAGCAGAUUUCAUCAUAACUGAAUAGAAAGAUGCAUUGGGCUUUAUGUCACAGUGUUGCAGCAUAUGCUUAAAGAGAGAAACAAAUACUUGUGAGUGAACACCAAUUUGGGAAUAGUAUUUGAGCAUAAAGGUGAAGACACGUACAUCAGGAUGUGUUGCAGCAUGAAAAAUGUGGCAGGUGUAGCUUGAGGGUGCAAGGAAGCGAGUACAUUGGGUAAGGAGGAGCACCACCCAGUGGUUUUGGUGGUGCAGGGAGUGGUGUACCAACUAUGCAUGGAGUUGCCUCAGACCAUGGAGAUUGGUUAUUUUGCUUACAAUGUUUGACAUGCCUCUGCAAAGUAGCAAUGCAACUAUGCACAAUUGUAACAAACUUAACAUACAAACAUGUUCCUCAACCAAAAAGGUGGUUUAGCUCAUAAAAUAAAGUUGAUCAAUUCUCUCUAUUUACUCUAAUUUUCAAUUAAAUAUUAUUAUUGCACAUCUUAUCCUAUCAACAAACUUAAAUCACCAAAUCUAAAUUCAACAUGCAUAUUUAGAAUACUCUUGUUUUAAUUUCUUACGAACCAAAUCAUCAAUUUCAUUGUCAACAAUAUUUUUUGGUGGCAAUAUUUUUUCAUUGCCACCAAAUCUAUUUACUCUAUUUUUUUUUCUUUUAAUCCUUCAAAAAAAAAAUAUUUUUUCUUUUAAAGAAUUAUGGCUACAAAAUAUGAAUCUGAUAUUAUAAGCAUCAAUAAUAAAUACAUGGGUUAAAUAAGUAAAUGGUCCCCCUAAAUAUAUCAACAUUUGAUUUUAGUCCCCUAAAAUAUUCCUUAGACUUUUGGUCCCUCUAAAAUUUUUCAUACAUGUAAUUAGUCCCUAUUUUUUAGUUAGCUCAUGACUAAAUAUCAUAUUUUUUAAUGAAAUUUUUCAUAAAUGAGUAGAACAUUGUGACAAUCUCUCCUAAAAAAAUUAGAUUUUUUUAACAAAACAUGAAUUAGAUAUGAAUUUUUAUGUUUUUGGUGCUAAAAAAUUCAUAUUGAAUUCAUGUUUUGUUUAAAAAAAAAAAAAAAUCAUAUCUAAUUCAUGUUUUGUUAAAAAAUUCUAAUUUUUUUUAUCUAUUUCUAGAAAAUUUCAUUAAAAAAUAUGAAGGUUAGACAUGAGUUGACUAAAAAGUAGGGACUAAUUUUAUGGAUGUAAAACUUUGGAGGGACCAAAAUCUUAAAAAAUAUUUUAGGAGAACUAAAAUCAAAUGUUGAUAUAUUUAGGACAACCAUUUACAUAUUUAACAUUAAAUACAAAGUGCAAAAAUUCAGGAUUAGGAUCAUUAGGCCGUAAGGGAUGACAAAUUUCAAAAAUCAAGACUAUAAUGAUUUAGUAGAUACUCACACUGUUUCAAAAUGAAUGUCGUUUAAGGUUUUUACACACAUAAUCUCCCUCUGUCCUUAUAUCUAAGCACCCAUGUGACUUUAUUUUUGUCCCUAAAUGUAAAUCCAUUUUCAAAUUAUUAGAUGCAUUUAUUAUUUUUUUCCUAAACAGAUCCCUAAGUAGUACUACUAACUUGUCUUGAAAUAUGAAAAAUUAAAUUAAAUACACAUAAAAACAAAGGCAAUUUGGUAAUAUUAACACACAAAACAGACACAUUAAUUACAUUGACAACUUUUCUUAAAAAAUGUGUAAAAUGCAAAGGGGGUUUACAUAUAGGGACGGAGGGAGUAUUAAGAAAUGCAUUAAUCAAAAGAAAGAGAGAUGUUAUUUUAUCAAAUUAUCCUAAUAAAUUAUUGGUUUGUUUUUCAUUAAAGAAAAAAUAAUACUUUAGAAGUAGUGUAUAUAGUAUUAAUUGAAGGAUGUAAUUGAAAAAAAAGAAGUUAUUAUUGCAUUAGAAACUGAAAGUGACAUUUAUUUUGAUAAACUUUUUUUUAGCUAAAAUGACACUCAUUAUGAAAUAGGGAGUAUGAUUUUUAUCGGAGAUUUUAAUUUGUUUCAAAAAACAAUUAUUUUAUUAUCCUUACUAAUUGAUAUGAUUGCACAUUUAUUUCUAUGUUAAUCUUAACGAUUUUAUUUUUGUAUAUGAUUAUUGUUUUUGGGAUAUUUUUUUUAGGGAAAUUUUUGGGCUAUUUGUAUGUAUAGUUAUCCAAUUUUGUUGUUCAUUAUUAUACUCGAGGAAAAUUCAAUGCAUUGUAUAGAACGAUAAUAUCAUAAUAGUAAAAUGGGUCGGAUUGCACCAUUUAGCCGGCCUUUUUUAGUGAGGUGAGUUGGAAUUUUAAGCAUGUCACUAGUAGGGUAUUCACAUUGUCUAAUUCGCUAAUUGACUAGGUGGGUUGGAAUCUUGCAUUAUCAAAUACAAUUAUGCAAUCAUUUUAAGAAAGUUGACAUUACUAUAUUAAUUUAUUUUUUUUAAUCUUUGAUAGAUAAGAUUUAAUUUCUCUUGUAUGUCCAUUUUCAACUAAAAUAUAAUUUGUUUUGUUUUGAAAAUUAUCCCAAUUUAUUGGAUAAUAAAUAUCAUCAAUAUUUUUAAUAUUAGUCAGACACAUUAUUAGAAAUAAAGGGUCAAAAAAAUAUCAAAAAUUUCUUCGAUAAUAUUUUUUUUACACAUGAUACAAAAACCCUUAUUAAGAAAAUUCAUUUUUUUUAUAGGGAGUGUGUAUAUAGAAAUAGUUUUGCUGUGUGGUACAUAUAGCAAAUCACGUUAAAAAGGCCAAAAACAUUAUCAGAUUUCAGCUCAGCCCUUCAUCAUGUGAAUGUUUGGGGCCUUUAUGUUAACUUUGUUUUAGAUACUCCCAUAAACUAAAUAUUUCUAUAUACACCUCCUCCAUAAAAAAAAAAUGAGCCCCCUACCGACAUGGGUCCUAGGCCGUCGCACCCCGGCAGCAAAACUAAAUAUUCUUGUUAGCAUCAAAUAUAUAUAUAUAUAUAUAUAUAUAUAUAUAUAUAUAUUUUAGAGUAAUCAAAAUUAAAUUUAUUGUUGUUUUAGUUUUAUGGGCAAAAUUUUAUAAGAUAGCUUUCCGAUUUUAGGAAAUGAGUUCUGGUAGUUCGAAGUUCAGUGUUGAGAUAAGUAUAGACCAAUCAAUUAUUAUUUUUUUGGGAUCGAACUCAUUUAUUUUGAAGGAUUCAUCAUUUGGUUAAACUCUUUUCGCUUGUAUUGGAAAACAAAUACUCGCUCAUUUUGUUGGUUUCUAGUGAUUCACCAAAACGCGAACAUCCUCACUUUUUUUUUUUUUUACAACGCUGUCGUUUAGCUUGCACCAAUAGUAGUAUUGGUCCAUGCUUGAUUAAAAAAUACUGUAAUUUUCAAUGCGUUAAGGUACAAAUUUCAUAAAAAUUUACUAAUUAAAGUCCUUAAAUAAUUUUUUAGAAGCAUUUGGUAGCAUUUCUUUAUUUUUAAUGGAACUAUGCAAAAAAAAAUAAAUAAAUAAAAUUGGAGAAGAACUAUGCAAUGUUAGUGAGUGUUGAAAUGUAACAUUGUUUUCAGCAUUGAGAAGAUUAAAUGCUAUCAUAUUUCACACAUCGUCGGCAUCUUUUGUUUUUUGUUUUACAGGGAUAUUGAUGGAAAUCAAAUGUCAUUGAUGAGAGGGAAAUUGUAUGUUAAAAGGUUGAAGAGGAAAAACGGAGAACUUUUUUAAUACUAUUAAUUUGAUUUGACAUCACAUGGAUAUGAUAAUUAUAAAGUGUACUAAAUUGCUUUGUGAAUCAGUUAUAUCAAACAAUAAAAUAUCGAGUCCACCAUCGACCAAUACUUUUGUUGGUCCAUUUUAGACGUGACCUUCUACCUACAACUUCACUUGUCAACAUCUAUAUAUCUUCCUCUCUGUGUCUUUGUUUACUCAAUCCUCGAGACAAAAGGCAUGAAGGAUUUGAUUUGGGAGAAGAGGUGAAGAUUUAUUUUAAAAAUUAGACAUUAUAAAAAAAAAAAAGGACUAAUGUUUGUCAUUUCAAUUUUAAAAAAUUAAAACAUAUUUUGAAAUAUUGACUUAAUCGUCUAAACCAUCUCCUCCAAAAUCCUCUCAAAUAGACCUAAAGGGUUUGUUUAGAACCACAGAUGGACAAAGGAAAGAAAGUCUAUUGGUUUUUGUGCUUCCACAGUUUGGUUCUCUUGUAAACAGCUACGAAAAGAAAGAUUUAUGUGGAUCCCAUGCUUGGAGGAAACAAAUUAAAAAAUAUAAAAAGAACAUAUAAGUAAAACCAACCAUCACUUUUUCCAUUAAAUAUUAAAAUAAUGCAUCUAACAUCAUUUAUUAAAAUAUUCAACUCACCGUGGAAGCACAUAAAAUUGAUUUGAGGUGGAAUUGAUUUACAUGCAUGGAAACCAAAAACAAAAAUUUGAAUGCUCCAAAUGUACGUCCAUGGCGGAAUCAAAUUCUCUCCAUUAAAUAUUCUUUCAAUUUUUUUUUCUUCCAUUUUUGAUCUAUACCAUUCAAAUACAACAAUCACUUUUUUUUUUUCAUAAUUUAAUUUACAUUUUCUCUCUCAUGUUUAAUUGUUGAGAUUUAACUUAAAAGAAUUUUCAACGAAGAGAAUCCAAAUCCAUCGAUGGCAUAUAGACGAGGUACCAAAGAUAGGCAUGAUAUUACAUAAGUAAUACUUAAAUUUCCCUUAGAGUGUGUUUGGAUGAGGUAAUUUGAAAAUUUUAAAGAAUUUUUAAAUUCUAGGCAAUUUACCUCAAAGUAUUUGAAUUCUCUCAUAACAUUACAUUUCCUCAACAUUACAUUACAUUCUCACAUCCAAACAAUGGAAUUCACCUCAAAAUAUUUGAAUUUCCUCAUAACAUUACAUUCCCUGAAAACAUUCCCCCAUCCAUACACACUCUUAAAGAAUUGUACAUAAUUUUUCCAACAAUGAGAAUUAGCCACCCUAGUAAAUUACAACAAGUACUCACGUACAAUUUUGGCAAUAUUAGUGUACAUAGAUACCACUAAACUAUCAUCGUGAGUUUAACUCAAUGUAUAAUGUAUGUAAGGUUCGACGUUCGAACCCCGACCAACAUAAAAAAUAAUAAUACCACCAAACUGAUAAACAACACUGCCAGUCCCAGUCGGCCACAUUUGCCAAACAGAGAGUGAAAGGCGCAGAAGCAGGUUGCUGUCGCAGUAUGUUAAAUUUCAAACAUUAUGGAUCACAUUGGACCAAUUAUGUUUCCGAUACCAACAAAAGUCAUUUUUGACUUAUUCUCUCCAAUAUUUAGUUCCGUUCUUUACUUUAAUUUAAGACACUCUCUCCUUCAAUCUUGAGUGCAUGUGGCCUAUUCAACAAUAUACAUUCUCCUCUAAGUUGAAUAAUUUUAAAUUUUACCGUGACAAAUUAUUGCAAAGACUCAACUAUCUAUGUAUCUAUACAUAUCUAUCUAGGAGUAUUAUUAUUUUGUAAACUAAAUUUGAGACUUUCUAAUACUAAAAUUUUGUUUGGGUGACACCUCUAGAAGCACUUCUUAUACUCUUUUAUAAUUUCACACAUCUUAUUCUAUCUAAUAAAAAAAUCUAGGUAAAUUUAUUUAAGUUAGAAAACUUAUCAUCUUUUUCUUAAUUUUGUUAAAUACCAUUGUUGAUGUUAUGUUGUGUCAUCUCAAACAAAUUCUUCAAUUUUGUAUUGAAUCGAUUGUUACACUAAGAUUGUCUAUGAGUAUAAUAUUUGAUAUUUUCUUGCCUUAGUUUUCAAAUUUAUUCCCCUAAAAAAAUUCAAAUAUUAUUAUUUCUUAUGUAGAAGAAGCAAGGGAAAACGAUGUCACGUAUACGAACCCAUACUAAUCAUACCAAAAAUAGAUACCAAUGUCACGUAUAAUCCAAGCUUAAAAACAAGAAAGCGAAUGCAAGUGAAGAAAUUUGUUUGUCUUCCAAUUUUAAUAGAACAUGGUACGUAGUAUUUAUGAUUGGAUGGGAUAGAAGAUGACGUGUUAAGGCACUCCAAGGCAACAAAAAAAAAAUGAGAUAGUUUCUUGGGAUAUGAGAUGUAAGCAUGUGAGUUUAAUUUUUUCGUUUAGGAAGCUUUUUGUAAACUUUUUUUUUUUUUUUUUUGAAGGAAAAGGAAGCUUUUGUAAACUUAUAUUGUCUUUAUUCCUAAAUCCUGCCUUUUUUGUGUGAUCACGGCAGGUUGCAAUCAAAGUCGUGGGGGCAGGUCCUCUUUGAUUUUGAGUUUGUUUUUACCUAAAUAUCAUCUAAGUUACAAAAUAAAAACAAAAGUAAGUCGAAUAAAGUUAAAGUAUUUAGAUCAAAUUUUGAUUUAAAAUAUAUCAAGAGUACUACAUAUUUCUUCAGUUGUACUAUGUUUUCUUUGUAUUUGAUUCAAAAUGAUGAAAAUUAAUUUUUAUAGAAUUGAUUUUAAGAGAAAUGGUUUUGGUUGAAAUUGAUUUGAAUUUUCUUUCCUUUAUCAACAUAUCUAUUUGUGUCACUGUGUGUCUUCGUCUUUUCAAUCCUCGAGACAAAAGACAUAUAUUUUGAUGGAGGAUUUAGGAGGUGAAGUUGAAAUUUAUAGUUUUAUUUAAAAAAAAUUAUAGACACUGUAUAAAAAGUUUAAAAUAAAUUAAAUGCGGUUGAAAUAUUAUUUGAUUAUUUAUUAUCUUCUUAUUUCAAUUUUGCCUCAAAAAAAUAUUGUUAUUUCAAAUUAAAAAAAAUUAAAUAUAUUUUAAAAUAUUGAUUUAGUCCUUAAACCAUCUCCUUCAAAACAUUCUCAAACUCUAAAGGCCUUUUUUUUUUGUUGUAUCCAGGAUUCGAACUCCGAACUUUACAUCAUUGUUCUUACCAACUAAACUAAGUUCACAUGAAUUCAAACUCUAAAAGCUAUUGACCGAAGAUAAUUUUCAAAAACAGAAUUAUAAUUUCCAAUCGGUAUUUGUUCAAAAAAUAAUUUCCGGUCGAUAUUCAACUCACCGUGGAAGAACAUAAAAUUGGUUUGGGGGUGGAAUUGAUUCACAUGUCUUGGCAUCAAACAAAAGUGUGAUAUAAUAGGUAAGACUUAAGUUAUUCUAGAAGAAUGGUAAAUAAUUUACCCAAACAACCAAUAAGAAUUAGCCACCUUAGUAAAUUUACAACAAGUAAGCUAGCACAAACAAUUUUAAUACUAGCAAUAAUAGUGUGCAUGCCAAGAGAAUUAAGGGAUACAAAUUUGGUAAGUGCCAUCAGAUCCUAUAAAAUGAAUUACAACGAAAUGUGCUAGCACAAUAUUUAAUGACAUAAAAUAACCUGCUAGCUAAAAUUGUAGAAUUAAAAGAGCAGAAUUUGCAAGUUGCGAUCACAGCCUGUUAAAUUUCAAGCAUUUUUUUUAGCUUUUCUUUAUUUUUUUGAAUACAAACAAAAGUCAAUUUGACUUAUUAUCUCCAAUCUUGAGUGCAGGUUGCCAAUUCAACAAUAUACAUCGUCCUCUUCUUCCUAUUCAACAAAAGUCAUAUUUCCUCCUCCUCCAAGUUGAAUAAUUUUAAAUUUUACCGUGACAAAAUUAUUCCAAAGAUUCAACAAUCUAUCUAUCUAUCUAUCUAUCUAUAUUUAUUUAUUAUUAUUUUUGUAAACUGAAUUUGAGUCAUUCUAAUUCUAAAUUUUUUCUUAGGUGACACCUCAAGAAGCACUUCUUUUACUCUCAUAUAACUCCACACUUUAUCUUAUAGUUUUUAGAAAACUUAUGUAACAAAUUCUUCAAUUUCGUAUUCAAUAUAAUCAAAUGUUUAAAGGGUAUAUAUUUGAUUUGAUGCUCCUAUUUUCUUGCCUUAAUAAUAUUUUCAAAUAUUAUUAAUUCUUUUGACUAUAUACCAAGUAUUCGAACCAACUGUCACUCUCACCACGCGACCAUUGUCAUUACCAAUGUAUUGCCGCAAAUAAGUCAGUGUCACUACUCUUCUUCUACCCUCUUCAGGUUCACCCAUAUCCCAACUUUAAUUCUCAGAUCACAAUGGCUAAAUUGUUUUAUUCCGAUUAAUUAAUUAUUUUUAUUAUAAAAAAAAUCACAAAAUGAAUAGCAAAAAAAAUUUAGUUUUUUUUUACGCAGAACUUUUUUGAGAGAUUUAGAUAAUUCGGCCACAUAAAACUAUAUAAUCAUGUUUUUUUUAAUUAGUUGAAAGAAGCUAAUUCUUCAUCAACCACAAGUCAAAUGGCCACUUGGAAGAUAACGUUCUUUAAUUUGCUGAAAUUCACAUACAUUAAUAUUAUUCUAUUUUAAUCCCAAUUACGGUAAGAUAAGGGGUUGGUUUGGUCAUGUCUCUUUCCAAUUCUUAAACAAACCCUAACAAAAAAAAAUCAUUCAGAUACCACCGCAACACCACCGUACAUACUACAAAUUAAAAUUCAGAUACAAGAAAUCUAUACAAAAAAUUAAUUAAGAACACAUCAACCCAAUCCCCAUUAAAUAUAAGUAUGCCUUCAAAGUUCAAACUUGAUCAUAUUGUGUGUAUAACUAAUAGAAAACAAAUAUUGAUUGAUUUUUUAUUUUAUUACUCCCUCCCUCCGUUCCUAUAUAUAAGACCCUUUUGCCAAAAUCACGGGAAUUAAGAUAGUAGAUAUUUGUAUUAAAGUUGUUUGUAAUCACUAUUGUUUUUACAAUUUUAUCCUUUAAGAAAGAAGGUUAGUUUAUGUUUUCAAUAUGUUAUUUAUUGUUGAUUGAAGAAAAAGAUGUAUAAUAAAUAGGGGCAUGUAUGUAAAGAAAUAAUUAAUGUAGUUGAAAAUAACAAGGGGUCUUAUAAAAAGGGACAAAAAAAAUUCUCAAAAGGGUCUUAUAAUUAGAGAUGGAGGGAGUAAAAUAAAGUAUUAUGAUUGAAAUGGAGAAAGACAAAAAUAUCAAAUAUACUUCUAAAUUCUAGUGUCCCACAGAUGAGCUUCAUAUCUGUCUGUCCAUCAGUGCCUAAUUAAAAGAAAUACAAAUAAAAUUUCAGAUACAAGAAAUUGAUACAGAAAAUUAAUUAAGAACAUAGUAACCCAUUCAUUCCAUACGAUAAAAAGAGUUUGCAUCCUGUUAUGUUUGAAUCUAACAUGAGAGGUACAACCAACCAACCAAAACCGUUUUUUGUAUUGAUCUGUAAUAAGUAAUAACCUAAAAAUGGUAAUCAUAUAUGUUGAAUAGUUGAAAGAGAAAAGGAAACAUAAGAGAGAAUUUUUUUAUUUCGUUUAAAAACCAGGAAAUACAUAAAGAAACAAACAUGUCUUCAAAGUUCAAAAUAUAAACUUGAGAACCUUGAUGAUGCAUAGAUUAGACAGAUCAAAAUAUAAAUAUAACGGUGCAAGUGCGUUUCAUCAGGUACUGUCUGGCUUUGGCUGCUUUCGGGCGAAAACAUCCCGCAUGCUGGGGAACUUAACAGAGCUGCUUUUGUUAUUGGUAUCAAUACCCUCAGAUCUGGGGGGUGGCCGAGUGAAGAAGUAUAGAACUUCUCCUAUACUAGGGUUGGUUCUUCGGGAAGAAGAACAUGCACCAGAGGCAUUGGUGUUGGUGUUGUUGUUUGAAUUAGACAUUGCUAAAGCAAGAGCUAUAGGUGAAGAAUUAUAGAAAAAUUUAGAGAGAGAGAGAGAGAGAGAGAGAUAACAAUGAAAUUGAGGAGAGGAGAGGAGAGGAAAUGAGCAAUUACAACAUUGAAGAGAGGGUGUCUAUUUAUCGCAGAGACAUAAAGGGCAAAAAGGUAAUAGCAAAUUUGCAAUGGUUAAUGCCAUAUAUAUGUUGAAGGCCCCAUCAUACUCACGUAAAGCCCACACGUGAGAUCAACACUCUUCUUUCUCUUAUUAAUUCACACGUGAGAUCAACACUCUUCUCUGUCUUAUUAAUCGAGUAAAAUUGUAAGUUUCGUCAAUUAUCCCUCUGAAAUUAACAAAACUUCAAUUAUCCUCUGAAAUUGUACGACGUUAAUUACUCCCUCUGUCAAAUUCUUAUGUUAGUCAACAUGAUGUUUUACAAAUACCCCCGAACUUAAAAAUUUAUAUUUUUUUCUUAUACUUGACUCAAAAAAUAUUAAAGGCAAACAAGGAAGCUUGAGAAAUGUAAUUAGGAUUCAAGGAAUAGUUUAAAGAGUUACUUGGUGAAGGGUACUAUGGUAAAGGAGGAUUACCAAAAUUGUUUAUUGAAAAGAAAUACAUUGAUGAAGUUGAGGAAAUUCAGAAACUUCAUGAUGACAAGAAGCUUGAGAAAUUGCUUGAUUGUUGUGAAAGGAUUGAUGACAUUGAAGGAGAUGAUGGUGGAUUUGAGGCUUGUCGUGACAUAAAUUUUGUUCCUUGUGAAACAUGUUAUGGAAGUUGUAAAAUCUACUAUGAAGGUGAUUAUGAAGAAGAUGUUCUCAUUGCAAUGAAAAUGGCAUAAUAAGAUGUUCUAUGUGUUGUUUCUAGUUCCAUAUUUCAUUUUGACAUUUAACAAUGAAAAUGACCUAAGUUAAUUGUUAAUUGUUUGGCUUUAAUAUCUUUUGAGUCAAGGAUAAGAAAUAUAUAUAUAUAUAUAUAUAUAUAUAUAUAUAUAUAUAUAUAUAUAUAUAUAUUUUCAAGUUCAUGGGGCAUUUUGCACAUAAGUGCAAAACCUCAGGGGGGUAUUUGCAAAACAUCAUGUUGACUAACAGAAUAAUUUGACGGAGGGGGGAAAUUGAUUAACGUUGUACAAUUUCAGGAGGGUAAUUGAAGUUUUGUUAAUUUCAGAAGGGUAAUUACCUAUUUAUUCCUUAUUAAUUUAUGCUAACAAUUUAGGGCAAUUGUCAAUUCAAAAAUAAAAUAAUUUAUAAUUUUAUAUAAAUAGAGUUACUCUCUCCUUCCCAAUUUAAGUGAGCUUUUUGUUUAUUUCAUAAUUAUUAAGAAAAAUUUAAUGGUGAAGGAGAGAGAAAAUUAAUUUUAAGUGUUCUUGUUAAGUAUUGGUGCAUUUGUCAUAAACAUAAACGCAAAGUAGAAUAUAUUGAACCGGAAAUGAUGAAAAUAAUAUUAUUAGAGUUAUAAUUAAAAAAACUAAUUAAUAUUGCAUUAAAAAUUAAAAUGGAUCAGUUAUUUUAGAAGAAUGCUCACUUAUUAUGGAACAUAGAGAAUACCUUUUACUAUUAUUUUAAUGACUUAAAUGCGCAAUUUUAAAAAUAAAAUUUACGACUUUAAGUAUUUAAACGAAUGCUCUUAGAGAUUUUUUAAUGUUUCCCUUACUUAAAAUACAAUCACAUCUCUUCCCACGUGAGAACUUUUCGAGUGCAUUUUCUUUUUUGAAAUGAAAUUUUCGGCUACAUGCAUGUUAGCCACGGCUAAGCUUGACAAAUUUAUUACUUAACGACCCUUGAUAAACACCUCUUUACUUCUUAUAUUCAUUCAAUAUUCUUUUUUCUUUCUCUUUGUUUUAAUGGUACCAACAAAUGCUUAGUUGUUAAUGUAACAACACUUCUCUCUCUAAAAAAAGUCUCCGACUUCUCUCUAGAUUUAUUGGAAAAAAAACUCAUGUUUCACAUCGGAUAGAUAAGACUCUUGAUAUGAGUUUAUAUAAAGGAGGCAAUCCUCACCUUAUGAACCGGUUUUUAAGGAUGAGCUAGAACCUCAAUUUCAUUAUGGUAUCAGAGUCUGUCGAAUUCAAGGGCCACCUACUGAUUCACACACCAAGCCCAAAGAGUGUUGUUGGACAUGCGGCCGAUUCACGCACCAAAAGCCCAAAGAGUGUUGGGCAUGACGGGGGUGUAUUGGGAAAAAUUCAUGUCCCACAUUGGAUAGAUAAGACUCUUGAUAGGAGUUUAUAUAGAGGAGGCAAUCCUCACCUUAUGAACCGGUUUUUAAGGAUGAGUUAGGCCCCCAAUUUCAUUAAGACUAACUAACCUUCUCCCCCUUGUAUCCAAAACUGGCCAAUCUCAAUGUAGAUCUUCAGCGGUAUCCCCUUGAUUCGCCCUGUUCGUGUCCGUUUUCCCCAGCUCCUGUCAUGUUUGUUCGCGUCAAUUUUUUCUGAUUCCUGUUCAGAUCUGCUUCAAAUCUAGGUGGAGGUGGUGAGAAGGCCACAAUUUUGGUUGUUUUGGUGGUGAUGGGUUGAUGUUCUGGUGGUGUGAGGCUUGAUGGUUCAAGGCUUGUGUGGUGGUGGAUCUAUCACGGAUUCGUUUGGAGGUGUUUUUGAGAAGCGGUGGUGAGGCAGUGGUGGUGGUGAUAGCAACUAUGGUUGUUAGCCGCUGGUGCUGAUUUUGGGUUCUGGUGGUGCUAUGACUUAUAGAGCUGUCAAAAAUGGGCCGGGCUCAUGGGCCGGUCCAUUGGCCCAUAUUUUUGGGCCGGGCCGGGCCUAAAAAACUAACAAAAAAAUGCACUCGGGCUUUUUCGGCCCAAGCCCAUUUGGGCCAUAAAAAAGUUGGGCCGGGCCGGGCUGGCCCAGCAGGCUUUGGGCCGGCCCAUAUUUCAUUUUAUUUUUGUUAAAAAACAACAUAUUUUUUAAAAAAAAUAUCAACUAAUUUAAAAUUUAUUAACAAAAAAAUAUUUUAAAAAAUAAACUUAAUAAUAUGGAUGAAUUUAGCUUACAGUUUUAAAAUUUUAAAGUUUAUAAAUUAUUAAUUUGAUUUAAUUGAAAGAAUAAUCUAGAGUUUAAUUAUUAUUCAAUGUUAAUGUAAAAAUUAUUUAUAUUUUUAUGUCCAUCCAAUCAUAUUUUAGCAAAAAAUAAUGGUGAGUAACUAAUACAUAAGAAAAUACAUAAAAAAAAAAAAAAAAGUGAAUAAAUUUUAAAAAUAAAACAUAAACGGGCCAGGCCGGGCUCUAGAAUUCACGGCCCAAUCAUAAACGGGCCGGGCCGGACUGGCCCAUUUCUAUAGUCGGGCCUCUCGAGCCCGAGCCGGGCUGGGCCGGCCCGGCCCAUUUGACACCUCUAGUGACUUAUAGGGUAAAGGCCGAGUUUUGGACUUCGUGGUGGUGGUGGUGAUGCGUGGUGGGGGUGAUUUGGUUGUUAUGGUGGUGGUGAUUAUAUUAUAUGGGCUGUUUUCGCUGCUUUUUUCUGUGGCGUUGUGGUGAUGCGUGGUGGUGGUGGUGAUGUGUUGUGGUGGUGGUUCAGGUGGCGGCUUUGCGUGGGAGUUGUGGGGUUGUAAUGGUGUGGUUUGGAUGGAUGGUCAUAGAUAAUAUUGGACUCGAGUUUUGUGAUGGAACGCUUUGCGGACAAGUGCUAUAUAAGGGGUGGUUUGUGUUGUUUAUGUGAGGAGGUGGUUGUUUUUUUGUGUGAUUUCUUUUGGAGGCCGCCUCUGUUAUUCACGUUCAUAUUCGUUGUCGCUAACUUUGGUUUGAGUUUUGAGUUGUUAAGGUGUUUAAGGUGUGUAUCCUAGCAAACACCACACACACAUAUAUAACUUCAAGUUUUUUCCAUAUUUAAAAAAUAAAUAAAAAUCUAAGCUUUAAAAAAAGGGAUUACUUUGUCAAACAUAAAAUACUUACUGAGAUUUGAUUAUUUUUUUAAUCCAAAACUUAUAUGUACGUGUAAUAUUAUAUGUCAAAGUUUAUAGAUUAUGUCAUACCUUUCCAUAAAAGUAUCAUUCCAAUACGUUUUAUGUGAUCCCUUAUACCGACAAUGACACAAGGGAGUUAUAGUUUUCGGCUACAUUUUUUUUUUAGGGGAAGUUUUCGGCUACAGGUUAGCCACGGCUCAGCCUGGCAAAUUUACUAAUCAACCAUCAUCAUAAAUAAACACCUCUUAAUUCCAUAUAUGCAUUCAACAUUCUACUUUUUCUCUUAUGGUACAAUUCUCCUUCUCAAAAAAUAUAUAGUACAAUUUAAAAAUUAAAAUAAAUAGUAUUAAAUUUUUUUAUUUUUUUUUGAGAAAAAAUAGUAUUAAAUUUUAAUAAGUACUUUAUCUUGGUACAAUAUUUUGUCAAAAUAUAGAGGACGUAAGUAGAUAACGUUGUCAUUAGCCAUCCAUCCUCUAAAAAUUAAAAUUUUUUCUUGAGCCAUCCAAGCUGGGUUAAGCGAUUUUUAUCCCGGAAUUAACGGUGGUAGACUUAUUGGAGCCACGCCAGCAAGGGACUUCUGAGUUGUGACAUUGGAACUUUCUCCAGAAUGAUGACUCAGCGCAGCUAUAGAGCCUCACAUUGAUACACUCAUCAAUUGUAUUUUCCUUUUUCUUUUUAUAAAUAUAAAUCCUCAAUAGUAUUUGUUCAACCUCAGACCCUUUUAAAUUAGAAAAACAUUAACAAAUGUUUUAAGACAUUGUAUUGUUUAACCAUUCAAAUGUAGUAACUUUUGCAUUGAAAAUUAUGUAGUUAUGAUUUUUACAUGUGUUUAACUUAUAUUUUUAAGACAAAAAUUCUUUUUGUCGAUUUUUUAUUCAAUGCCUUUAAGACACUUAUCAGAAAGUCCCAUUAAAUUAUUUUCAUUUUAUACAACACUAGCACCACCUGUAUUUUUCUUAUGAUACUCCCUAUAAUUUAUACGUGAAUGAGGGGAAAAAAAAAAUAAUGAUCAGAAAUAUUGCUUUAAAAAAAUUAUUACAAUUGCUAUUACUACUAUUAUUACUAUAAAAAAAAUUAUUACUAUUGCUUUAAAAAUAGUCUUAAAUAUCAUUUUUAUUUUUUUUUUAAAAGAAAGUAAUACUCUUGUCUGAUAACAAACUUGCAAUGUGUGACACAAACACGCACCAUGCCUGAAAGAAGAAGAAAAAACACACAUUUGCGACAUUUCUUUUGGCAUCUCUGUACAAACCAAAUUAUGGAUUUAUGCAUGUUUCAAAUUAUGGAUUUAUGCAUCACAGGACUAAUUAUUAUGCUUAAAUUUUAAGAGUUAAACUGAUUUCUGAAUAACCAAACCCCUCCAAACACCAUUUUGUUCGCACGUUCAGAUGGAUUAAUCAGGGCAAAAUAGUGUUUUUCCCAUUGAGAUGGAUAAAUCUGGAUUAGAGUGCUUUUUAAGCACUAAUAGUUCCCUCCUUGACUUGUUUUCCUCGUCUUAAUGUCUCCAUUAUAAUUAUAUCCUUCCCACCUUCUCAACACCCUGCAAAAUAGUCAAGGAAAAACCAAUUUUGAAUAUAAUAGCUUCUUAACAACAACGUAAGUAGUUCCAGAAAAUCUAAUACUAGAUUCAGAAUUUCAAGAUUCAAAUAAAGAAAUUAAUUAUUCAUCUAAGAUACUAUGAAUAAAACAGUUAGUACCCUCAACCCAGGUUGGUUAGCAGAGGCGGACCAGAAGAUUGCAUAGCUCCAUUGGAUACUUCUCUCCGCCAAAACACAUGUAGUUUUUACUGAAGUUGUGUUGGAUAUACACGACUUUUAAACUAGCCUUUGAAAUGAGAUCAAUCAAACCCAUUUAAUAUAGUAUCAUCAACUUCGGGUUUAAGGACUAAAUUGUGCAGAGUCCAAAUAUAGUUGUAGAGUCCAACUCAAGUGAUCGUCCUUCAAUCAUCAGCUGCACAUGUAUACUAACAAGAGCAAUAAUGAAGUAUCAAUAUCAAUGCUUAUAACCAAUAGAAAUUUUAUUUUCUUAAAUAUCAUUUAUAUAUCAAAAACCAGUUUUCUUAAAUCUCAUUUGGCUUUGCCUUCCUUGAAUUGAGUUUAACAUGAACCUUCAACAUAAAAAGAAAACCUUAAAUUACCUAUCAACUGCUAGUGCAGAAUUUUAACAUUUUGGUCUUCCUAUCUCAUUGAACAUUUCAUUUAAAUCCUGUGACCCAAACAUUACAAUUUGUUACUAAACCUUAACUUCUACAAAAGGCAAAAAUUAGAAAAAGUUAAUGCACAGCCAAACACACUCAAACAAACAGUGCAUGUACUUUGUUUCAAUUCAAAACAGUGUAUGAAUUCCAACAAUACACGCUACCAAAUUGAUCCAUCACGUAAGUGCUUAAGCAAUUCAACCAAAGAGUAAGUAGUCCAAAUACUAAUUAUUUGAGCUUCAAACUAUAGUAAUUUAUGUCUUACUAUCUUCAUUUUGUUAAGGUUGUGCUUACUUACUUACUUGAUUAUUUGAGAAUCAAGUAAGUAAGCACAACCUUAACAAAAUGAAGAUAGUAAGACAUAAAUUACUAUAUAUAGGAUUAGGAAUGACACCAUUCGAGAGAGAGUGGGGGCAGCACCUAUAGUAGAAAAAUUGGUAGAAAAUAGGCUUAGAUGGUUUGGACAUGUAGAGAGAAGACCCGUAGAUGCCGUUGUAAGAAGAGUAGAUCAAAUGGAGGAGAGUCAGGUUAAAAGAGGUAAAGGAAAACCUAAGAAAACCAUUCGAGAAACCAUUAGAAAAGAUUUAGAGGUCAAUGAGUUUGAUCCAAAUAUGGUUUUUGAUAGAACACUAAGGCGUCAUUUGAUCCAUGUAGCCGACCCCACUUAGUGGGAUAAGGCUUGGUUGUUGUUGUUGUUGUUGUACUUGGUAAUCAAUUGAUAUCUUUGUUUAUAAUGUGAAACACCUCGAAGAACCGCAAGAACUGUAAUACUUUGGGUGCUAUCACUUGUCUCUACAAAGACGCACACACGCCACGGCACCAAUAGGUAUUUUCCACAAACUUAUGAGUUAUGCUCCAACCAGCUCAAGCCAGUUGUUUUCUUCACUCCCUGUUUUCUCAUUGUAUCCCUAACUUUGUCUCCAUCCUUCCAUCUACCAGCCGAAGCAUAUAUGUUAGAGAGCAACACAUAAUUUCCAGAAUUAUGUGGCUCAACCUUGAACAGUUUAGCUGCAGCAAGCUCCCCGAGUUCCACUUGUUUAUGAAUGCUAGUAGCAUUUAAAAGAGAUCCAUAAAUUCCUGCAUGGGGUUCCAUCGGCAUGCUUUGAAUUAAUUUCAUAGCUUCUUCCAAUCUACCAGCUCGACCCAGCAUAUCAAUCAUACAAGCAUAGUGAUCUACAUCGGGAAAUUUGAUUGAUUCAAAAAGUCUUUGACCUUCACCCAAUAAUCCGGCAUGACUGCAUGCAGUUAGUAUAGCAAUAUAAGUUAUGCGGUCUGGUUCAAUACCGUCUUCUUUCAUUUUUAACAGCAGCUCGAUGCUUUCCAUUCCAUGCCCAUGCUCUGCAAACCCGGAAAUCAAUGUGUUAUAGGAAACUAAAUCUCUUGUUGCCAUUUCUUGAAAUAUUAAUACAGCAUCUUGCAUGCUCCCACAUCUUGAGUACAUGCUAAUCAAAGAGUUGUAUACUGAAAUGCUAAUCUGGAUGUGAUUUUCUUUGAGGAUGCUCACAGCCCAAUUACCCAAACCUAGUUCUCCAAGGUGUCCACAAGCCGAAAAAACACUCACCAUAGUCACCUCAUCUGGUUUUGAAUCUUCACUAGAGAUCAUUUCCUCGAAUAGCUUGAUCGCCUUGACUGACUCACCAUUUUGAGUAUAACCUGCAAUCAUUGAAUUCCAUGAGACAG
rnacentral:lncRNA from 1 species